rnacentral:rRNA from 1 species
UACGUAGGGUGCAAGCGUUGUCCGGAAUUAUUGGGCGUAAAGAGCUCGUAGGCGGUCUGUCGCGUCGGCUGUGAAAACCCGAGGCUCAACCUCGGGCCUGCAGUCGAUACGGGCAAACUAGAGUACUGCAGGGGAGACUGGAAUUCCUGGUGUAGCGGUGAAAUGCGCAGAUAUCUGGAGGAACACCGGUGGCGAAGGCGGCAUCCUGGACCGACACUGACGCUGAGGAGCGAAAGCCAGGGGAGCAAACGGG